GCCUAAUUUAAAUGCAAUACCUGUUGAUGUGUUAUGUUUACUGGCCAUUGAGAUAAUGUUAGUGGCAGCACUGAGUGGGGCUCAUGAAAAUUAUGCAACUUAUAAGUGCGUCCACCUCAAAAAUAAAUGGCUCAGCAAUACUACACUGGAAAUUUCGCCAAGGGAAUAGCAGCCCAACUAAAAGAGUGAGAGCUGAGCAGCCAAAGAGAAAAUAAGUGGGUCCAUGGCUCUCUGUUUCUUUCUCUGCCCAUGCCUCUCAUAUGGUGUGGUCACUGCGCUGCUGUGUUUGUAGAUUUUCCCUUGUACUGUAAUGAAGUAUGGCUCUCAGUGAGGAGUUGGCUCUAUGAGUCGAAACAUUUGUGACUGACCCAUUGCUAUAAAGCACAGAUAUACAAAUAGUUUUUAUCAUGAUUUGUGAAGGUGAGUAAUGGAUCAAGGUAGAAACAGGAGUGGAAGUUGCAACAAUGGUUUCAUUAAACUCUAAGUCAGGGGUGCAACUUUUAGAUGUAUCUCUACUUCAACACACCUGAGUCAAAUAAUGAGGUCAUUAGCAGGACUCUGGAGAACUUGACUGCACUUAGGAGGUGAUUCAACUAUUGGAUUCAAGUGUGUUGGAUCAGGGAGACAUCUAAGAGUUGCAGGACACCGGCCCUUGAGGACCAGGAUUGCCCAUCCCUGCUCUAAAUGCUACAGGAUUCAAAGUCACAAGAGGAAGAGGAAGAAGGAGUAGAGACAGGGAGACAAUGUAAGAUCCAGGGAAAAACAAUGACACAUGAGAGACUCUAUACACACCGGGGCAAUCAAGGAAAUGACAAACAGUUGGAACCAAUUACCAGAGAAACAAUAACAAAAAAGUUCAAGGUCAGUCUGGUGGCCUGAUGUGCAGCUGGUGGAAACCACAAAGAGAAUGUAUCAGUCGGCCAUGCGGCCGGGGGCACCCAUGGAGAACCCAUGCAGGAGGCCGGCGGCAUUGAUGCAGGAAGCUACUGGAAGACUUGGGAACACUGGAAGGUUCGGAAAGAGCUGGAACACUUGGUGGAUCACUGGAAAAAACAGAACCAUGACAGUUCUGACAUUUGAGACAGGAUUCCAGAAUUUAAAAAUGUAUUAAAUUCUAGGUUAAAAAUACUUUUUAUUAAAAAAAAAAAAUUCCUCCUGCACUGAAAAAAGUAAAUAGUUGAACCAACUUAAUUGAAUUGUUUCAAUUGGCAACAAGUAAUUCAAUUAAGUUUAUACAACUUAAUUCAUUAAUUUGGUUUAACGUGACAAAUUUAAGUCAGUCUUAUGAAAAUAACUUAGUUUACUUCAAAUAAAGAAGUAAACUAAUAAAAUAUCUUUAUUAAAAAAAAGGUGGGGGGCGUGAAAGAGGUUCUCAGGCAGCCUUUAUUUGAGACUAGUUAGACAGAAACAUGGAUAAUGAAAGAGUGGGAACACAUGCAGCAAAGGUAUUCAGGCCAGGAAUUGAACCUGUGACGGCCACAUCGAGGACUAAGUCCUCCUUAUGUGAGUUGUGUUCUCUCAGCAAAUUAGAUGGGCUGUAGACAAAUAAGAAAAUGAAUGCCUGAAGGGGCCAAAUGGAGGUUUGGGCUCAGUCAGUUUUAAAUUUUACCCAUUCUCUAAUUCUUGGCCGUGACAUAUGUAAUGUGCCAGUUCGACGCACUAAAGCUUACCGGAAAUUGCCUGCACUGUAAACAACCAAGUGAGAAGCUCAGUCAUCGGGGACGGACACAAAGUAGAGCAGCUGCUCCUUCAUGUCAAGAGGAGUGAGUUGAGGUGGCUUGGGCAUCUGGUUAGGACGCCUCCCUGGUGAGGUGUUCCAGGCGCAUCCCAUCGGGAAGAGGCCCCACGGAAGACCCAGGACCGGAGGGACUACGUUUCUCGGCUGGCCUGGGAACACCUUAGGAUUAGGUUUUUAAAUAAACUGAACUGAUUUGAAAAGCACCAUGAGAAGUUAACUAAAACAUGAACUACUAAAGUCUGAACAUUGGAAGAAUAUAAUGGACAAAAAUUUGCUCCUCAGAAUAAACUGCCUUUUUCUUUUAUGAAUAAGCCAUGGCUCUACUUUAAAAAGUGA